rnacentral:rRNA from 1 species
AGCGAACGCUGGCGGCAUGCCUAACACAUGCAAGUCGCACGGGGGGGCUUCGGCCUCCCAGUGGCGGACGGGUGAGGAACGCGUAGGGACCUGUCGAGGGGUGGGGGAUAACCGCGGGAAACUGCGGCUAAUACCGCAUGACGCCGCGGCGUUACAGCCGGGGCCAAAGGCGAAAGCCGCCCGCCGAGGGGCCUGCGUCCGAUUAGCUGGUUGGCGGGGUAGCGGCCCACCAAGGCGUCGAUCGGUAGCUGGUCUGAGAGGGUGAUCAGCCACACCGGGACUGAGACACGGCCCGGACUCCUACGGGAGGCAGCAGUGGGGAAUAUUGGACAAUGGGCGCAAGCCUGAUCCAGCAAUGCCGCGUGGGUGAAGAAGGUCUGCGGAUUGUAAAGCCCUUUCGGCGGGGACGAUGGUGACGGUACCCGCAGAAGAAGCCCCGGCUAACUUCGUG